UUGAGCUUGAAUCCUGGCUCAGAUUGAACGCUGGCGGCAGGCCUAACACAUGCAAGUCGAGCGGCAGCACGAGGAAGCUUGCUUUCUUGGUGGCGAGCGGCGGACGGGUGAGUAACACAUGGGAAUCUGCCCGAUAGUGGGGGACAACGUUUCGAAAGGAACGCUAAUACCGCAUACGUCCUACGGGAGAAAGCAGGCUUAGGCUUGCGCUAUCGGAUGAGCCCAUGUCGGAUUAGCUUGUUGGUGAGGUAAUGGCUCACCAAGGCGACGAUCCGUAACUGGUCUGAGAGGAUGAUCAGUCACACCGGAACUGAGACACGGUCCGGACUCCUACGGGAGGCAGCAGUGGGGAAUAUUGGACAAUGGGGGCAACCCUGAUCCAGCCAUGCCGCGUGUGUGAAGAAGGCCUUCGGGUUGUAAAGCACUUUCAGCGAGGAGGAAAGCAGUAAGGUUAAUACCCUUAUUGUGUGACGUACUCGCAGAAGAGACC
rnacentral:rRNA from 1 species